rnacentral:rRNA from 1 species
GACGAACGCUGGCGGUGUGCUUAACACAUGCAAGUCGAACGGUAAGGCCCUUUCGGGGGUACACGAGUGGCGAACGGGUGAGUAACACGUGAGUAACCUGCCCUCAUCUCUGGGAUAACAGUCGGAAACGGUUGCUCAUACUGGAUAUGAGCUUGCAAGGCAUCUUGUGGGUUGGAAAGAUUUUUUGGUUGGGGCUGGACUCGCGGCCUAUCAGCUUGUUGGUGAGGUAGUGGCUAACCAAGGCUUCGACGGGUAGCCGGCCUGAGAGGGCGACCGGCCACAUUGGGACUGAGAUACGGCCCAAACUCCUACGGGAGGCAGCAGUGGGGAAUAUUGCACAAUGGACGGAAGUCUGAUGCAGCAACGCCGCGUGCGGGAUGACGGCCUUCGGGUUGUAAACCGCUUUCAAUUGUGACGAAGCUUUUUGUGACGGUAGCAGUAGAAGAAGCACCGGCUAACUACGUG